UACAGAGGUCCCAAGCGUUGUUCGGAUUUAUUGGGCGUAAAGCGUGCGUAGGCGGCUGCGCAAGUCGGUUGUGAAACCCCGGGGCUCAACCCCGGAACUGCAUCCGAUACUGCGUGGCUAGAGGUAGGUAGGGGAGAUCGGAAUUCCUGGUGUAGCGGUGAAAUGCGCAGAUAUCAGGAGGAACACCGGUGGCGAAGGCGGAUCUCUGGGCCUUACCUGACGCUCAGGCACGAAAGCUAGGGGAGCGAACAGG
rnacentral:rRNA from 1 species